AUUGAACGCUGGCGGCAUGCCUUACACAUGCAAGUCGAACGGCAGCAUGAUCUAGCUUGCUAGAUUGAUGGCGAGUGGCGAACGGGUGAGUAAUACAUCGGAACGUGCCCUGUAGUGGGGGAUAACUAGUCGAAAGAUUAGCUAAUACCGCAUACGACCUGAGGGUGAAAGUGGGGGACCGCAAGGCCUCAUGCUAUAGGAGCGGCCGAUGUCUGAUUAGCUAGUUGGUGAGGUAAAGGCUCACCAAGGCGACGAUCAGUAGCUGGUCUGAGAGGACGAUCAGCCACACUGCGACUGAGACACGGCCCAGACUCCUACGGGAGGCAGCAGUGGGGAAUUUUGGACAAUGGGCGAAAGCCUGAUCCAGCAAUGCCGCGUGUGUGAAGAAGGCCUUCGGGUUGUAAAGCACUUUUGUCCGGAAAGAAAUGGCUCUGGUUAAUACCUGGGUCGAUGACGGUACCGGAAGAAUAAGGACCGGCUAACUACGUG
rnacentral:rRNA from 1 species